GUCCAGACUCCUACGGGAGGCAGCAGUGGGGGAUAUUGCACAAUGGGGGAAGCCCUGAUGCAGCGACGCCGCGUGGGUGAAGAAGCGCCUCGGCGCGUAAAGCCCUGUCAGCAGGGAAGAAAAUGACGGUACCUGAAGAAGAAGCCCCGGCUAACUACGUGCCAGCAGCCGCGGUAAUACGUAGGGGGCGAGCGUUAUCCGGAUUCACUGGGUGUAAAGGGAGCGUAGACGGCCAUGCAAGCCAGGGGUGAAAGCCCGGGGCCCAACCCCGGGACUGCCCUUGGAACUGCAUGGCUGGAGUGCGGGAGGGGCAGGCGGAAUUCCUGGUGUAGCGGUGAAAUGCGUAGAUAUCAGGAGGAACACCGGCGGCGAAGGCGGCCUGCUGGACCGCGACUGACGUUGAGGCUCGAAAGCGUGGGGAGCAAACAGGAUUAGAUACCCUGGUA
rnacentral:rRNA from 1 species